rnacentral:rRNA from 1 species
UACGAAGGGGGCUAGCGUUGUUCGGAAUCACUGGGCGUAAAGGGCACGUAGGCGGAUUGUUAAGUCGGGGGGGAAAUCCUGAGGCUCAACCUCAGAACUGCCUUCGAUACUGGCAAUCUCGAGUCCGGAAGAGGUUGGUGGAACAGCUAGUGUAGAGGUGAAAUUCGUAGAUAUUAGCUAGAACACCAGUGGCGAAGGCGGCCAACUGGUCCGGUACUGACGCUGAGGCGCGAAAGCGUGGGGAGCGAACAGG